GGUCAAGCUAUUAAGGGUAUAUGGGGGAUGUCUUGGCAUUAGAAGGCUAUGAAGGGCGUGAAAGUCUGCGAAAAGCUUGGGGUAGUUGACAAACAAGCGUUGAUCCCAAGAUACCUGAACCAGCGUGUACUGAAUACAUAGGUACAUUGCAGCGAACCGAGUGAACUGAAACAUCUAAGUAACUCGAGGAAGAGAAAGAAAAAUCGAUUCCGUUAGUAGCGGCGAGCGAAAGCGGAACAGCCCAAACCACUGGGGUUUCCCUGGUGGGGUUGUAGGACUUUGCACAUGAGAGUUAGAAAACUUUGGCUAGAAGAACGACUUGGAAUGGUCGACCACAGAGGGUGACAGUCCCGUAUUUGAAAGCUACAAGUCUCUCGCAGAGCACCUGAGUAGGACCAGUCACGUGAAACCUGGUCUGAAUCUACGGGGACCAUCCCGUAAGGCUAAAUACUCUCUAAUGACCGAUAGUGAACUCAGUAGCGCGAGUGAAAGAUGAAAAGAACCCCGUUUAGGGGAGGGAAAGAACCUGAAACCAUAUACCUACAAGCGGUUGGAGCACUAUGAUUUGUUCAGUGUGACAGCGUGCCUUUUGCAUAAUGAUCCGGCGAGUUGUCGUAUGCGGCUUGGUUAAGGACUUACGGUCCGGAGCCCGAGGGAAACCGAGUGUUAAUAGCGCGAACAAUUGUCGUAUGCGGCAGACGCGAACCCAGGUGAUCUACCCAUGAGCAGGUUGAAGCGCGGGUUAUACUGCGUGGAGGACCGAACCCACUUAGGUUGAAAACUGAGGGGAUGACUUGUGGGGAGGAGUGAAAGUCUAAUCAAACCUGGAGAUAGCUCGUUCUCUGCGAAAUAUCUUUUGGGAUAGCGUCAGGUAAAUUGUGAC
rnacentral:rRNA from 1 species